UCGUAACAAGGUUUCCGUAGGUGAACCUGCGGAAGGAUCAUUAU
rnacentral:rRNA from 1 species